UCCAACUUAUCGCUGGCGGUCUCCUGAGAGUGCCCAACUAAAUGAUGGCAACACAGGACAAGGGUUGCGCUCGUUGCGGGACUUAACCCAACAUCUCACGACGCGAGCUGACGACAGCCAUGCAGCACCUCCGCAGCAGUUCUUGCGAAAAGGGAUAUUUCUACCCCGGUCCACUGCGCUUCGAGCCCAGGUAAGGUUCUUCGCGUUGCGUCGAAUUGAACCACAUGCCCCACCGCUUGUGCGGGUCCCCGUCAAUUCCUUUGAGUUUUAACCUUGCGGCCGUACUCCCCAGGCGGUCGACUUCACGCGUUAGCUUCGUUACUGAGAGUGUCAAACCCCCAACAACCAGUCGACAUCGUUUAGGGCGUGGACUAC
rnacentral:misc_RNA from 1 species